GGGGCUUAGAUCGCUAAACUAACAUCUCAAUGACCCUCUGCUCUACCUAUUAGCAUUUAAAGUCCUUCGGUUGACAGCUUGAUUGUUUUUACUUGUAGGAUAAAAUCUUUAAUGCCCCUGUGGAAAGAUCAUUUCAACAAUCGGCAACAGAUGUUGCGGAUGGUGAAGACAGUCUAUAUCUCCUAGCCAGUUUGGUAGACACUUAGCAGGCUAGAUAACCAAUGAAAAUCCACCUGGAAGAAUCGGACACCCUCCACUUUAGCGAAUACCUCCUCCUUGUCUGCUGGCCAAUCAGCUUCUACCUUUCUCUAUCAAUCCGUGCCUCUUGCUCCAAACAUAAGUUGCUGGCAUCACCUUUGUGGCAAAAAGUCAAACCAAAAUACAAACCUGUUUUAACUUCUCGAAUAAACUUUCACUGAAGUCGUUAUAAAAUAAACACGGAUAUGUAACGCAUGUCAUAGAAGUGUAACCCGCGGAAGUGAACGUCACGGAGUAAAGCCUAAACAGUUGUCACUAAAGUUGAGAGAAUAGAGUGCCUUCAGAAAGGAACAGGGCAGAGAUUUCCAUGUCUGUUCUCAUGCCGGAGGCGAUGGAACAACCGCUACAAUACGGCGAGGUGAACCAGCUAGGGGGCAUGUUCGUGAACGGUCGCCCCCUCCCCACUGCCAUCCGAUUGCGCAUUGUCGAAUUAGCUCAGAUGGGCGUCCGACCUUGCGACAUAAGUAGACAAUUGCGCGUCUCGCACGGCUGCGUUAGCAAGAUCCUGGCCAGAUACAACGAAACUGGGUCCAUUCUGCCUGGAGCCAUAGGCGGGAGUAAGCCUAGAGUUACAACCCCUCAUGUAGUUAAACAUAUCAAGGUCUACAAGGAGCGAGAUCCUGGUAUAUUCGCUUGGGAAAUCAGAGACAAACUGUUAGCCGAUGGUGUAUGCGAUAAAUUCAAUGUGCCCUCUGUUAGUUCAAUAAGUAGGAUAUUACGCAACAAGAUAGGGACAUUACAACAUCUAAACGGACAGUACGACACAGUUACUUAUAAACCCCCUGCAACAGAACCCAGAACUUUUUAUAAUCCCAUCUAUCCGUAUACCUGCACCCCCAGUGGGCUCACGAUGCCCGGGGCACAGCUUAGUUCCCAGCAACCAGGGUUACAGUUAUCCCCAAAGCAAGCAAUGGCACCAAUGGGAAUGGGAAGUAUGGGAACAAUGGGGAGCGUCUCUGGUAUGAACGCUAGUCCACUGCGACCUUGGCACACACCACAUUCCGUCAAUAAUCUGCUAGGCAUCACUCCCGGGCAUUCUCACUCCGUAUUCCCGGGGAGCCAGUCGACCGUGGUGACGUCAAGUUCAUGCAUGAAAGCGGAGACAAUGACUCAGACAAUGUCGUUAAGUCAAAAUGCUGCCAAUUAUGGAUACUAUUGUGCAAUGGCCCAGUCAAUACCUCCAAUGUAUCUUCAGAGUUGACAGCGUCAACGUUGACUUGUUUUGUGUAUUGAUCGUUUGCGUCAGCAUUCUGUUCACGUCAGCAGCGUCAACACAUAUCGAUAUAUCUGGACGUGUCUUGAACAUUUGUACACCAUCCAUAUGACAUAGUCAUUCACAAAGCUAUGACAAGACAAACAGCGCUAACCUUUUUAAAAGAAGAUAACUAUAUAUAAGGUAUGCAAAUGUCUCAGAUCCAUAAAAUUGUGACGACCUUUGGAGAUGUCGCAGCCAUUCGUGAAAUUCCGUCCUGACAUAUAUUUAUUGGGCAAUGGACUAUAAAAGUAGCCGAGGAAAGAAAUCGUUUUUAUUUUUUAACAUUCAUUUUUUGCGACCGUCUGUUCAAUUAACCAAAUUGUAAAACGCAGAAUUGUGUACAAUAGAGACCCAUAGAAGCUAAUAAAGAGGACACAAUCUUUGCUUUGAAUAUAUUCUGGGGUUGAAAUAGUAUUCAUUUCUUUUUGUCACAAAAUAAUUUUUUGGACAAAAUAAUACCAGGCUGACACGUCGCAAAUAGUUCGCGCACGUAAUUGUUACACAUUUUCGCUUUUUAACACGACAGAAUGUGACGUUUUUGAGAAAAUGUACACAUUUGGAAAUCCUUUCGUCCUCCACAGACAUUUGCCUCUAUAUCUCAAAAUAUUUAAGACGAAUAACUCUGAUAUCGUAUACAUAUUAACAAUGGGUUA
rnacentral:misc_RNA from 1 species